rnacentral:lncRNA from 1 species
UCCUUAUUCCCAAUUAAUCUAGUCGUCCUCUUUUCAUCCUCAUCACUAUUAACAUUGUCACUCAAGGAAAAUAUAGCAGAUUUUUGGUGUUUGCUUACAUUAUUCGACUCUUCACUACCCUUUUUCCUUUUCAACAAAUAGCUACAGUUACUUGUAUUAGCAUUGAGUUUCUGUUCUACAACUCCACCUUUUACUGAAUUACUUCCUAACUUCGGAGAAGAAUGUACCAAUUUGUUAGAAUUUGACAGAUUAUUCAACCAUUUUGAGAGAUUGGAACCACAAAU